UACGGAGGGUGCAAGCGUUAUCCGGAUUCACUGGGUUUAAAGGGCUCGUAGGCGGCCAACUAAGUCGGAUGUGAAAUCCCCAGGCUUAACCUGGGAACUGCAUCCGAUACUGGAUGGCUUGAAUCCGGGAGAGGGAUGCAGAAUUCCAGGUGUAGCGGUGAAAUGCGUAGAUAUCUGGAGGAAUACCGGUGGCGAAGGCGGCAUCCUGGACCGGCAUUGACGCUGAUGAGCGAAAGCUAGGGGAGCAAACGGG
rnacentral:rRNA from 1 species